rnacentral:rRNA from 1 species
AGUGAACGCUGGCGGUAGGCCUAACACAUGCAAGUCGAACGGCAGCACAGUAAGAGCUUGCUCUUACGGGUGGCGAGUGGCGGACGGGUGAGGAAUACAUCGGAAUCUACUUUUUCGUGGGGGAUAACGUAGGGAAACUUACGCUAAUACCGCAUACGACCUACGGGUGAAAGCAGGGGAUCUUCGGACCUUGCGCGAUUGAAUGAGCCGAUGUCGGAUUAGCUAGUUGGCGGGGUAAAGGCCCACCAAGGCGACGAUCCGUAGCUGGUCUGAGAGGAUGAUCAGCCACACUGGAACUGAGACAGGGUCCAGACUCCUACGGGAGGCAGCAGUGGGGAAUAUUGGGCAAUGGGGGCAAGCCUGAUCCAGCCAUACCGCGUGAGUGAAGAAGGCCUUCGGGUUGUAAAGCCCUUUUGUUGGGAAAGAAAAGCAGCAGGUUAAUACCCCGCUGUUCUGACGGUACCCAAAGAAUAAGCACCGGCUAACUUCGUG